rnacentral:lncRNA from 1 species
UUCAAGCCCGCCGCCGCGCACUGAUCCAUCCCUCCCUCCAGAUCUAUCUUAUCUAUGUCUCUUCUGCUCCAUCUCGAUCAGCUGUUAAAUUUUCCCUGCCUAAUCUCUCUCUGUUAAUCACACAUCUCAUGUAAUUCUCAUGUAUGAUGAGCACAAGCUAAGUACCUGUACUUGUUCGGUCUGAGUUGUGUCCCCGUGUGUGCGGUUCAAUCUUUUGCAUGUAAGACAGCGAGUCCACACUUGUAAUGAAUUAGCGAAUAAAAUG